UUUUUAGGUCGGGCAGUGCUCGAAAUUCUCACGUACAACGUAUACGCUCCGGUUUCUGCGCGCUGCCCGGCUUCACACUGGCUCCAACAAGUACGCCCACUGGACCAGGUUCCUGGCGUCACAUAACGUCACCUGUUUAUCCACAAAAGGCUCAAUAAAUAAACAUUUUGAGCACGAAAAAUUACAGUGUCAGAGAAUGAAAUGGCGAUUCGCUGUCUUCAAGCAGUGCUUUAGUACCUUGCACGCGUUCUUUCGCGCUAUAUUCUUUUAUUACUGAGCCAAGAAUACCGUCCAGUCGGCCAUUCCACUCUAAAUACAUGAUAAGAUAAGAAGCGCUGAGUUGCUCCCAUGAUGAGAAUUGUUGCUGAAUGAGUCCGCCGAUAGUAUUUAAA
rnacentral:misc_RNA from 1 species